GAUGCCCAGUGUUCCCUCUCCAGACCAUGCGAGGCAGACGUAGUGGAUCAUUUAAUACGAGCGGAUUCUAAAGGACAUGUCUGCAGUGUGACAAAAUCCAGGAUAUUUGUGCACAACAACAAAUAUCUGACUGUAAGACUAACCCACAUGCACCUAACGCAAUGCUGAUUAUCAUGCAAGCGAAAUCGACCAUUAAUAAGCUAAAGCAAAUACGAUCAAGGAAUGGAUAUGAAAAUGCGAGUGGUGCUAUUGGGAAAGAUGCCAGCCUGUUGACGUUUUAUUUAGGAC